GUUUCUCUGUGUAGCCCUGGCUGUCCUGGAACUCACUCUGUAGACCAGGCUGGCCUUAAACUCAGAGAUCCACCUGCCUCUGCCUCCCAAGUGCUAGGAUUAAAGGCAUGUGCUACC
rnacentral:miRNA from 14 species